AACGAACGCUGGCGGCAUGCCUAACACAUGCAAGUCGAACGAGACCUUCGGGUCUUGUGGCGCACGGGUGCGUAACGCGUGGGAACCUGCCCUUAGGUUCGGAAUAACUCCCCGACAGGGGUGCUAAUACCGGAUAAUGUCUUCGGACCAAAGAUUUAUCGCCUUUGGAUGGUCCCGCGUUGGAUUAGCUAGUUGGUAGGGUAAAAGCAUACCAGGGCGACGAUCCAUAGCUGGUCUGAGAGACUGAUCAGCCACACUGGGACUGAGACACGGCCCAGACUCCUACGGGAGGCAGCAGUGGGGAAUAGUGGACAAUGGGCGAAAGCAUGAACCAGCAAUGACGCGUGAGUGAUGAAGGCAUUAGGGUUGUAAAGCUCUAUUACCCGGGAUGAUAAUGACAGUACCGGGAGAAUAAGCUCCGGCUAACUCCGUG
rnacentral:rRNA from 1 species